GGUAUGUUGGAUCCCUGCUUACGCAGCGACAUCCCGCCAUUCACGGCUUUUCAUUAUUAGGUCCAAGAGCACAAUUUGCUUUGGCCGCGAGACGGUUUCCUGUGUUGCAUACCUAUUGUGAUGGCAUUCUUUAGUCUCGAUCGUCCCUCGUUCACCUUGUGUUGACCCGAAAGGGCCGCACGCAAUGUGAAACUCGAAGCGCUUGUCGUGUCCCAAUCCACGGAUGCAUUUGCGUGCCAUGGCAUCGGUUCUCGUCAAGUUGCUCGAACUCUCGGAAAUGGAAUGCAUUUCGGGUAGGGGUCAUUGACCCUCCUUUACCCAAAAAGCAAGCGUUCAUCGCUAACCAGCGAACGAUCGCCGUGCUCACCCAGGGCGGCCGGUUCUAGUCUUUUAGSACCCGUCUGGCACGUGGGGGGUGCCGGCGUCGGUGAGGAAUGCUACCUGGUUGAUCCUGCA
rnacentral:misc_RNA from 1 species